rnacentral:sRNA from 1 species
CCAACAUCUCCGAAUGAUCCGAAGGUGUUGUGCCACUUGUUUCAUUGUUGGUCUUUGAUCUAUUUCCAAACAAAUACACUUGAGCAAUAGCUUCCCUAUCUCUUCGAGGAGAGCAACAUCUUCGCUACGAGUUGUGAUAUCAUCGUCGAAAAAUGCCCUUCCACUGUUAUCUGCCUUGUAAGCUGCAAGGAAUUGCGAGACAAGGUGUUCGUGAUCCGCAUAAAACGCAAAGUUCUUCCUACUAAUGAGCGUCAAGACAAGAACACCAAACUGAUACACAUCGGUUUUCAGUUUUAGUGACACACAGUACUUAUCAUGAUCAUGAAUUGCGCUGUCAUCAUUGUUGAGCCUCUGCGCCCAUGAGAAUCCCGUCAGCUUUGGCGUGAAACUGUCAUCAACAAGUGUCUUGGAUGGUGCAACAUAGCCAUGUCUGAUCAUACCAGCUGCUGAGGAAUGGAGGUACUCUAAUGCUUCUGCUGUCUCAACUGCGAUCUUCACGCGUAAAUGCAGUGGGAAAUCUUCACGGCCAUCUAGAAUGUCAGAGAGGGUUCCUCUAGCAGCAUACUCGUACACAAAUGCGGGACAAUCAGCAUUCAAGCAGUAACCCAAGAGUCUGAUGAUGUUCUUGUGGACAAUUUGAGAUAGGAUCAUCCCUCCGUUGAUAAACGCCUCUUCGAAACCCUCAAGUGCCUCGGAAAAUAUCCUCACCGCUACCACCGUAUUGUCCUCAAGCGUUCCUUUGUAAACCUUACCCGAAGUACCUCCACUGAGUAGACACGAGUAAUUCUGUGUGAUUUCAUUUAGCUCCUCCUGUGUGAAAAUUCUCAUAUUGCCGAGUCCCAAUAGGAUCUUAGAAGAAUUGCUAAGAUUUCUCUUGAAAAUGCUCAAACUCUUCUUCACGGUGUGAUGCCAAAAUGUGUUCUGAGUAUCUUCCAUGCAUGUCUUUUAAUUCUUUUUUAAGUGUACGAAGGCGUUUUGCCACAACAUUCAUUUGAGGACGUUUAUGAAUGUCCAGUGUUAGGCAUUCAAUUGCCAAUUUCCUCAUUUCUUUUAGAAUCUUCAUAUUGCUCCGGUUUGCUAUCUCAGCAUCAAAUAUUUCUCCACCUCCAAUGAGGUUAAUGUCACCUUUUCUUACCCUUUUUCGAGCUAUUAGUUCCAAGAGAACCAUUCCGAAACUAUAAACAUCACUCCUCGGAGUAAGACAACCCUCAUGAAAGUAUAUAGGAUCCAUGUAAGAUACGCUUCCUUUUAUAUGUACAGUGUACUGAGUGACACCACCUGAAAGAAGCCUUGACACUCCAAAGUCUGACAAUUUCGAUGUCAGAUUGCUAUCUAGAAGUAUGUUGGCAGGCUUAAUAUCACCAUGACAAAUAAGACUGCCAUUCGAUAAAUGCAUCGAAUGCAUGUAGCUCAAUGCGUCCGCACAUCCUAUAGCAAUACCCAGCCUUACAUCCAAAGGGAUGGAAAUGUCACUGUUGUGGAGUAUGUCAUCAAGGUUUCCUUUGGAGAUAUACUUAGUAACAAUCAUUAGAGUACUUUCUCCAAUGCAAUAGCCUAUGAGCUCCACCACAUUUCUGUGACUCAUUUGACUAUGGAUGCUUACUUCUUCCAUAAACUCUUUCCUUAAAUCUUUGCUAAUAUAUCUCUUCACCGCAACAAGAUCAUAGUCAUCAUCAAGAGUCCCUUUAUACACUUCUCCAAAGCCGCCUUGUCCGAUCGGAAUGCUGAAGUUGCUAGUAAUCCGUUUAAUCUCAUCUUCUGUGAAAACCUUAAUAUUCUGAUUGAUGUCUACUUUGAACUUCAACUUAUCAUAGCAUCGUGUGAUAUUUCCAAUCAUAAUCUUAUUUUCUGCAAGCUGUGUCGUAUACCAACAUUACAGAU